UACGAAGGGGCUAGCGUUGUUCGGAAUUACUGGGCGUAAAGCGCGCGUAGGCGGCUUGAUCAGUCAGAGGUGAAAUCCCGGGGCUCAACCCCGGAACUGCCUUUGAUACUGUCAAGCUAGAGCUCGGAAGAGGGUGGCGGAAUACCCAGUGUAGAGGUGAAAUUCGUAGAUAUUGGGUAGAACACCAGUGGCGAAGGCGGCCACCUGGUCCGUAGCUGACGCUGAGGUGCGAAAGCGUGGGGAGCAAACAGG
rnacentral:rRNA from 1 species